rnacentral:rRNA from 1 species
UNUGCUGGAACUCAACUGACGCUAAUGCGUGAAAGCGUGGGGAGCAANCAGGAUUAGAUACCCUGGUAGUNCACGCCCUAAACGAUGUAUACUAGUUGUUGCUAAGCUAGUCUUGGCAGUAAUGCACCUAACGGAUUAAGUAUACCGCCUGGGGAGUACGGUCGCAAGAUUAAAACUCAAAGGAAUAGACGGGGACCCGCACAAGCGGUGGAGCAUGUGGUUUAAUUCGAAGAUACGCGAAGAACCUUACCCGGACUUGAUAUCUAACAAAUCAUCUAGAGAUAGAAGAGUGUCUGCUUGCAGAAAUGUUAAGACAGGUGCUGCACGGCUGUCGUCAGCUCGUGUCGUGAGAUGUUGGGUUAAGUCCCGCAACGAGCGCAACCCACGUCAUUAGUUGCUAACAGUUCGGCUGAGCACUCUAAUGAGACUGCCUUCGUAAGGAGGAGGAAGGUGUGGACGACGUCAAGUCAUCAUGGCCCUUAUGUCCGGGGCGACACACGUGCUACAAUGGCAUAUACAAUGAGAAGCAAUAUCGCGAGAUGGAGCAAAUCUAUAAAAUAUGUCCCAGUUCGGAUUGGAGUCUGCAACUCGACUCCAUGAAGCCGGAAUCGCUAGUAAUCGUAGAUCAGCCAUGCUACGGUGAAUACGUUCCCGGGUCUUGUACUCACCGCCCGUCACACCAUGGGAGUUGAUCUCACUCGAAG